GCCGACCCUCAGUAGGAG
rnacentral:snRNA from 1 species